rnacentral:rRNA from 1 species
UACAGAGGUCCCAAGCGUUGUUCGGAUUCACUGGGCGUAAAGGGUGCGUAGGUGGUGAGGUAAGUCGGAUGUGAAAGCUCGGAGCUCAACUCCGAAAUGGCAUUGGAAACUACCUUGCUCGAGGGUUGGAGGGGGGACUGGAAUGCUUGGUGUAGCAGUGAAAUCGUAGAUAUCAAGCGGAACACCAGUGGCGAAGGCGAGUCCCUGGACAACUCCCUGACACUGAGGCACGAAAGCUAGGGGAGCAAACAGG